AGAGUUUGAUCCUGGCUCAGGAUGAACGCUAGCUACAGGCUUAACACAUGCAAGUCGAGGGGCAGCAUGAAGUUUGCUUGCAAACUUUGAUGGCGACCGGCGCACGGGUGAGUAACGCGUAUCCAACCUUCCCCUUAGUAGGGCAUAGCCCGGCGAAAGUCGGAUUAAUACCCUAUGUUAUUCGUAGAGGACAUCUGAAAUGAAUCAAAGACUUGUCGCUAAGGGAUGGGGAUGCGUCUGAUUAGGUAGUCGGCGGGGUAACGGCCCACCGAGCCUUCGAUCAGUAGGGGUUCUGAGAGGAAGGUCCCCCACAUUGGAACUGAGACACGGUCCAAACUCCUACGGGAGGCAGCAGUGAGGAAUAUUGGUCAAUGGGCGCGAGCCUGAACCAGCCAAGUAGCGUGCAGGAUGACGGCCCUAUGGGUUGUAAACUGCUUUUAUCAGGGGAUAAAGUGAGGGACGUGUCCCUUUUUGUAGGUACCUGAUGAAUAAGGACCGGCUAAUUCCGUGCCAGCAGCCGCGGUAAUACGGAAGGUCCGGGCGUUAUCCGGAUUUAUUGGGUUUAAAGGGAGCGCAGGCUGAUUGUUAAGCGUGACGUGAAAUGUAGCCGCUCAACGGCUGAACUGCGUCGCGAACUGGCAGUCUUGAGUGAGUACGACGUCAGCGGAAUUCGUGGUGUAGCGGUGAAAUGCUUAGAUAUCACGAAGAACCCCGAUUGCGAAGGCAGCUGACGAGUCCUUUACUGACGCUAAAGCUCGAAGGUGCGGGUAUCGAACAGGAUUAGAUACCCUGGUAGUCCGCACGGUAAACGAUGGAUGCCCGCUGUUGGCGAUAUAGUGUCAGCGGCCAAGCGAAAGCGUUAAGCAUCCCACCUGGGGAGUACGCCGGCAACGGNNAAACUCAAAGGAAUUGACGGGGGCCGCACAAGCGGAGGAACAUGUGGUUUAAUUCGAUGAUACGCGAGGAACCUUACCCGGGCUUGAACUGCAGCGGAAGGAUACAGAGAUGUUGANCGUCUUCGGGACCGCUGUGGAGGUGCUGCAUGGUUGUCGUCAGCU
rnacentral:rRNA from 1 species